rnacentral:rRNA from 1 species
UACAGAGGGUGCGAGCGUUAACCGGAAUUACUGGGCGUAAAGCGUGCGUAGACGGCUAUCUAAGUCGGGUGUGAAAGCCCCGGGCUCAACCUGGGAAUUGCAUUCGAGACUGAAUAGCUAGGGUACGGUAGAGGGAAGCGGAAUUUCCGGUGUAGCGGUGAAAUGCGUAGAUAUCGGAAGGAACAUCAGUGGCGAAAGCGGCUUCCUGGACCAGUACCGACGUUCAGGCACGAAAGCGUGGGGAGCAAACAGG